UACGUAGGGUGCGAGCGUUAAUCGGAAUUACUGGGCGUAAAGCGUGCGCAGGCGGUGAUGUAAGACAGGUGUGAAAUCCCCGGGCUUAACCUGGGAACUGCAUUUGUGACUGCAUCGCUGGAGUGCGGCAGAGGGGGAUGGAAUUCCGCGUGUAGCAGUGAAAUGCGUAGAUAUGCGGAGGAACACCGAUGGCGAAGGCAAUCCCCUGGGCCUGCACUGACGCUCAUGCACGAAAGCGUGGGGAGCGAACAGG
rnacentral:rRNA from 1 species